GAGGGGAGCCCUGAGCGGAGCCCUGAGCGGAGCCCUCAGCGCUGCCUCCGCCGCGCCGGGAGCCGCCCACGGCCAUCGCCCCAGGGUCCUCCCCACGCCGAGAGGAGCUGCUAUCUGCAGUAACAGCACGAUGAACAGAGCAGCUGCAUGGUGUCACUCUUAGAGCUAAAGAUAACAUCAGAUAAGGUGCCAAACGGGACGGGCUGCAGGUGAGAUCUUCGAUCAGAAGUGAUGAGAGACUUUGCAACAGGAAUCUGAAGACCAGGAUUUGACAGUCUCCAGGACUAGCCUAAUGGCUCUCCUAGGGGAUUUGCAUCAUCCUCUAUCUUCUCCCGAAAUGAAUUACAUUAUUUGGAGCCUCGACAGGUAAGGCAAAGAUUUUGUGAACUUGUAUCCCAACUGCAGCAUGCAUCCAAGAAACAUCAGUUAAGUUUUACUUCAAAGAAAGGUAAAUGUUUGACAGUUGGUUUGAUUACAGCUUGAGCUCUGGCAUCAGGAAGUUACAAGCUACCAUAGCACCCAAAAAGCAGCAGAGAUUUUGAUAAUCAAUGGUGGAGAGAUUCCUUCCCUGCCCAUAAUGGGACAAAGUAGAAGAUGCUGAAGACCUGGGAAUGGUUAUAUUGUACCCUUUCCUCCUCCUUUCCCAAACUUUUUAGUUUCACAUCACCUCAGUGCUCACUCUAAGCCCCCUGCUCUUGUUGCAGGAUAUCAUUUUGAAACAAUUGAUGUUUCCUGUAAAGACUUCAUCAGAAUCCAAGUUUUCCACUACAGUAGGCUUCAGGAACAAGAGAAAAGGGGUUUGUUCUUCACAAACCUUUGCCAGUGCAAAAAUAUCUUAGUUUUAUUGCUGUUGUUCUUACAGGUUUGAAAAGCAUCUUGUAAUCAUGAAAGCAUAGAAGAGAAAGUUCUAGAGCACAGUUAUGCAAAGAAUUACAGGGACCUGUAUUCUGUUUGUAGUGCUGUUCUGUACAGAGGGUCCUGGUUCAAUUUACCUUUUCCAUCUCUAGAACUUUAUCUUGCAUCUCCUUCAGGGCACAUUGCGAUUCUGCUUCACUCAGCCUGGCUUGGACCAGCUCUUUUUCCAGCUGUAGCACAAAGUCUUCACUGUAUCGUGAACUGCAUUUAUGCUACAAAGUUUGCAGAAAUAUGUUUAGUAUGAAGCACAGAUGGUUUGAAAGGGGUUUUAUAUACCAGACCUGGUGUGAAAAGUACAUUCAGCUGUGUAAGAUCAGGAAGACUACCUUAAGUGCUUACCUUAUGCAAGUCUAUUAAUAUGUCCAUCCAGACUGCCACCAAAAAUAUCCCUAAUGCUCUGCCUCAAACAACUGCACCCCCACCCAGCCUGUUAAUACUGACGAGCAACAACUCACACUUUUGUCUCAUUGUUAACCAAACUGAAAGAUUCUCAAAGGAUCUGUGCUAUGCAGAAAAAGAUGCUACAGGAACACUAGCUAAUUACAAGGUUAAUACAAGUAUCUCUCAAUUUCUACUCAAACUGUGAUUCGACAGAAUCCUUCUGUAAUUCUGGAUUUAAAAUGAAGUCAUGUGUGGCUUCAAUGUACAAUGACUUUGGUUUGCCCAUUUCUUCACUCCAACCCUUGGCUAUCAUUUGCUCACCAUAUACAUAUUCCUUCUGAGAUUCAGACACAUCCAACCAAAGCAUUUAUAUUCAAAAGCCUCACUUAACUUUUUUCCCCCUAGUCAAUAGCUUAAAAAACACAUUUUAUUUCUUCUUGGGUCACUUUAAAAUGACUUAGCAGUUUGACAGAUUGUCAGACUUGCCUGAUAGGCAUUCUGUAUUUGAAAAUUGAAAUCGGUAUUUUAAUUUCUGAUUUUGGAAAAAAGGGGGUGUUGACAUCCUCAAAGCAUAGCUGUCUAGUUACUGUGCUUACAUCGUUACCCUGAAAAUUAAGUUUAGAGGAAAAUAAUUCAAUACUUUUUUGGUGUCAUUAACUACAUUGUGAAAUAUAAAUACUAUACUUGGAUUAAUAGAUUAAGUUUUAAUUAAUUAAAAAUUCAACAGUAAAAUCCACAGAUUAUUCAUUAUACUAAAGAUGCAACUGUUUUCUUUGUGUUUGCAUAAAAAAAAUUAGUUUUCUACAUCUAAAAACAGAGACAAAAUGAAGAGCCUUCAGUUCCACAUGCUUCUGUUAUGGUGUGGCAUUCCCUGACCUUCAAUGCACAAACCAAAGGCGAACAGGACAAACCAAGGAUUUACAUGUAACUACAUGGUCAGGGAAACUAUUUUUUCAUUUAUUUUUAUACUUCUGCAUGCCAAGGAACCUUUGGCAUGACUUACAGUACAAUCCAAAUUCAGAAUCUACGCUAACCUUAGUGUUACAAUGUAUUAUAUUUCUUGUAUAAAUGUGCCUUCAGGAAGCUGUGAUGGAGGGAUGUAUACAAAGCACUGAAAAGCAAGCAGAGCUCAGGCAGUUUUUAGUGUCAUCAAGACCAUCCACUUAAGUGCUCUGCCUGCUUAACUGUGCAGCUGAACACACAGGGAACACAUAUAUAUUAUGAUCCUUGUACAUUAGUAUUAAUUUGCCCUUACACAUUACUAAUUUAAUUCGUAUUAUUUUCAACCCACACAGUGUCUUUGCCUCAGCAAGCAGUGGAGGCAGACCUGAUUUGAGUGCAAGAAAAGGAUGGGUGGGCAAUGCUGAUUCAUUUCUAUGAUUGCUUCACAUGAUGUAGGAACACAAGUACAAUAGGUAACAACAUGCAGACACAGAAAAGAGGCAACAGCUCUUUCAUAUUCCCUGGCUGCUUGUACAAGUUCAUCACAUGAUACACACGACAACUUAGAUGGACUCUACCUUUUUUGUUCCAGAUUCUGCCAAACAUUUUAAUCACAGUAGCACUUUGCUGACUAUGUUGAAAAGACAAAUGUAACAUAAAGCACUAAAAUUGCAGCUCUGCAGCCAUUUAAUUCUGAAAGAAACAAGUCCUUGCUUAGUUUCACACAACUGGAUUUAUUUUCUCCCAAUUUUUCUUAAACACAACCAUUCCUAAUAUUAUUUUGGUUGAUGAUAGAUGUAAUUACAGAAUGUUUCUCCAGCACACUAUACUGAAGAGCAAUUAACAGAUUGUUCAGCAGCUAACUUUGCUCAGCUAACUUUGCUUAUACAUUUAAGCACUAACACUGAACACAGUAUUUUUAUUUUCUGCAUUUUGGUUGCAAAUCAGAACACAGUAUUAGAAGAGUAUACUGCAAAGUACAGUGAAGCCUUCCAUAAGGUUGCAACACUCAUUUACAAGCAUAUAUUCCCUAAAUCAACUACUAUGCUUUUAAUAAUUAUCAGCCAUUGUAGCUUGAGUUCCUGAAAAACAACUAUGAAGUUGCUGUAACAAUAACCAAAUACAUGGCUAUAAAUUACCUUACAAAGUGCAUAUGCUUCCAUCUGAAUGCUUAGUCAAUUAAAAUUCUAUCUUCACAUAAUACAGUUGAAGAGACUAUUUAAAAAUAAGAUGUGAACCAAUUUCAGCUUGAUCUGCCUCUCAUUUCUCAGAUUCAGUUUUAAAGCACUCAGACUGAUGAACUGGGUAAUCAUUGACAAUUAAGGUAUCACUGGGAAAGACAAGAUUUGCAUUCUGGAGGUGUUUACAUCCAGCAGAAGCUACCUUUUUCAUUUAGAAACAAAAAGGGGAAAAGAACAGAGAAUAAAACCUUCAGCACAUAAUAUCAGGACUAAGUUACAACAGGCUGAUUACCCCUGCCCCUAACUCCUCAAAUACCAUUAUAUAUACUUAGCAUGCCUCAAAAGAAAACUGUAUUCUGUUAAAGUCAGGCACAACUUCCUCUAUGCAGUUCUUGAUUUACCACCAGUAUGAGGAAGAAGCCACCUUCCUCUUAACUGUUUGGUUAUCCACCACAACUUGCCUUUGGCAAGUUUCUGUAUUUAAAGGUUAGACAAGCCAAAGACAGAUUAGUACCAUCCAAUAGUACAAUGAUAACCUCUGAGUAGACUUCACACUUCAUUAUGAAGUCAUUCUGGUUCAUCUAAAAACUCCCUAUAAAUACUUCAGCACAGGAAGAAAUAAACUUGUGUGUAAUUUGGGCUUCUGGUGAUGGACUUCAGUCAAAAUACUCCUCUUCUACCCAUCUCUCUAUUCAGAAGUGCUGCAGUGGAGAAUUUCUUCACAGACACAAACAUCCAGUAAGCACCUUCAGUACUUACCCUUGAAUGAUCCAACCUGUGCUAUCGAAUCUCCUUGAGCAGAUUGCAUAAACCUCAAUAAUAUAUAAAUACAAACACAUAACCUUUUUACAAAGGACAUGUUAACCUUCUUAGAAAUACUACGGUUAGGUGAUAUUUUUGCUACCAACAAAAACGUGUUUUGUUGAGUUUUUUUAAUCCCAGGAUGUUAGUUGAAAGUAUCCUUAGGCAGUUCUUUUCAUACAUUCCUAUUCAGAAAUUCAUACCCAAACAUUACAAUUUCUGUCAUGCUGAAACAGCAUAUUCAAGACUGGAAAAUACGUAGAUUAUAAAAUACAUAGGAUAAAUGCUGUAUCUUUAAAUAAGCACAGAUAAACUAUCCAGCCACUUACAAGUUUACAGUGCUAUCAUUUUUGCUAAUCAUAAAGAAAGCUGAAAUAAUUGGGGAGAAAAACAUUAAAGCAGAUAUUCGCAAGACAGUACUGAAAAGGAUAUUGCCAAGAACAAAGCUACUGGCACUAGCACGUGGUAAAAAAUUUACCAGUGUAAAGUAAAAUGCCAAAAUUCCAAAUAAACCCACGCAUUCCCACCAGGUGGAGCCCUAAACAAACGCAACUGCUUACAUUUGUGUCGUUCCCAUUUCCAGCUUGGAAACAAAGUUAAAGCCUGUUCAAGCACUAAUGUUACUGAUGCAGUAGCCCAUAGCGAUCUCCUAACUGAAGCCAUUUUUGCACUUUCCCCACGUUGUCUAAUUCCGAUGGUUCUCAAAACCACAGCACUACUCCUUACACUUCAGAAUUAGCCAGCUACCAGGCACAAAUCUGUCCAUAACCACAUGUAUUUACAGUCUCAGUUCCACAUACAUAGUCUGACUAUUUCCUAUAGUCAUGUUCACGUUUAAGUGGAGGAAAACAACGCUGCAAGCAUGCAAAGUAGGAAGCGUGGCUCUUAAUUUAACUGCUCAUUCUUGUAUUUUACUUACUCUCCAUUCUCUCAGUACCUGUCCAGUCUUCUGCCCUGUCCAGUCUUCUGCCCUUACAGCUCCAAUCCAGCCAAUUUUGCAAUCCACAGCUAUUUACAGUUCUGCUCAGGACCAGUUCCCAUGCCCAGCCAACCUCUCAUGCCUCCCCAUCAUUGUUCUUCAGUAAGUUCCCAGCAUAAUUAAAGGCAUUAGCUUUUAAAGACAUACUACCUGUCAAUUAACUAAUAAAUAAAUAGAGUACCUUAGUCUCUUCUAAUAAGUUUUAACUACAUGCAGGUCAUUAAUGUGGAUGCCUCCAAAAAACACAUUCUAAGGGCAUGUGUACUAUUGUAAUCAGACAAUAAAUAGCUGGAUAACUAGAAGUCUAUCAUUUCCCACUGCAUUUCACUUGAAAGAUUACAAUAUAUCUAAAAUGUUGGAAAGCACCACAAGACCAUCCCCAUCUUCCUAACUGUUAUUUCUUCAUGGUGCUGUUUUCCUCCUAAAGAAAUUGCUCGUAUUAUAUAAACAGCAGCAUUUCACAUGACAGCUCAUCAGUAGUAGCUCAUCAGUCACUCCUUGCAAUUAUUCCAGCAUACCUUUUUUACGCUGAAAUGCAUUAAACAGACAUAAUAAAGACAACAUUCUAGAACUAGUCUAAGUUAUGAUUUCCUUUCGGUCCAACAGUAAAUUUCAUCUUUACCUUCCAAGGUGAGAUACAAGUAUUUCUAGAGCUUUGGUGGAAGAUGUAUAAAACCAACUGCCCUACUGACUUAACGGGGCCUGGUAAGCAGCUGCAGUAUGUUGUAGUUUUAAAAAGUGGUAUUUCAUACACCUGAAAUGCCCAAGACUCCAGACAAGUACUUAGAUACCACUUAAAGCAGUAUGAGGAUAUUCACAUCAGCACUAGUAGUGCAGAGUUUAUUCAGCAAGUGAAGAUGCUUAAAUGGCUUCCCCCACGCCCCAGGAGAAGACACUGGGCACUUUAAGUGGCUUAGAGGAAGUAACUUCAGUCUCACAGCAAUAGUCUGAAGUCGUGCACAUUUUACUACCUAAAACACAGAGUAACACAAACACAGUACUAUACUAUAUAUAAAUUAUUUUCCUGCUUCACAUCCACAUAAACCUACAUUUUUUAAUCAAGUCCUGUAGUUCCAAACUCAGGGACAACAUCCUUCCACUUCAGUAAGCAGUAAAUUUUAGUAUACUAGGAAAACCCCAAAUAUAGAUACACAGAAGAAACGCUAACAUGAAAUAAACUGACUUAGAAGAUACACUAUGUAAAGGCAUUGUAAACCAACUCCCAGAUUUGAGUAUUCAGAGUGACACAAUUUGCAAUGGGUAGAUUCUUAGCAUGAAGAGCUACCAAAGGCUGUAUGUGUGUGGUUUUGUUAGUAUUUCUUUGGUGGUAUGUGGAGGGGUUGGGUUGGGUGCUUUUUGUUGUUGAGUUUUUUGAUUGGUGUGUUUCAUUGUGGGUAUGUUGGGUUUUUUUUAUAAACUGAUAAACUUACAUCUAUCCAGGGUUAUGGAUCUCCCCUAUCAGUAAGAACAGACCAAAAUUUCGUUUAGUCUAAUUUGUAUAAUUUUAAGAAUGCAAAUCACAAUGAACAAGGAUUUACAAGGACAGCACAGAGACCAUGUCAUGAUGAGGAAAAAUAAACACAAGUGAGUGAAAAAGA